GACAGAGGUGGCAAGCGUUGUCCGGAAUUACUGGGCGUAAAGCGCGCGUAGGUGGCUAGAUAAGUCCGGUGUGAAAUCCUUCGGCUUAACCGGGGAAUGGCAUCGGGGACUGUUUAGCUAGAGGACGGGAGAGGAGAGCGGAAUUCCCGGUGUAGCAGUGAAAUGCGUAGAGAUCGGGAGGAAGGCCGGUGGCGAAGGCGGCUCUCUGGAACGUCCCUGACGCUGAGGCGCGAAAGCGUGGGGAGCAAACAGG
rnacentral:rRNA from 1 species